CGGAGGGAUCAUUAAAGAGUUUACAACUCCUAAACCCCAUGUGAACAUACUUAACGUUGCCUCGGCGGGUCGUACCUACCCUGUAGUGCACUUACCUCUAAGUGCCGUACCCGGUAGGUACGGGUAAGCCCGCCGGCGCCCCACUAAACUCUGUUUACUUACUGGAUCUCUGAAUUAUAACUAAAUAAGUUAAAACUUUCAACAACGGAUCUCUUGGUUCUGGCAUCGAUGAAGAACGCAGCGAAAUGCGAUAAGUAAUGUGAAUUGCAGAAUUCAGUGAAUCAUCGAAUCUUUGAACGCACAUUGCGCCCAUUAGUAUUCUAGUGGGCAUGCCUGUUCGAGCGUCAUUUCAACCCUUAAGCCUUCUGUUGCUUAGCGUUGGGGGCCUACUAUAUAGCAGUAGCCCCUUAAAAUUAGUGGCGGAGUCGGUUCACACUCUAGACGUAGUAAAUAUUAUCUCGCCUAUUAGUUGGACCGGUCCCCUGCCGUAAAAACACCUAAUUUCUCAAGGUUGACCUCGGAUCAGGUAGGAAUACCCGCUGAACUUAAGCAUAU
rnacentral:rRNA from 1 species